rnacentral:rRNA from 1 species
UACGUAGGGUGCAAGCGUUAAUCGGAAUUACUGGGCGUAAAGCGUGCGCAGGCGGUUAUGGAAGACAGUUGUGAAAUCCCCGGGCUCAACCUGGAGACGCCACCUGAUACUGCUUUGGCUAGAGUCCGGUAGGGGAGCAUGGAAUUCCUGGUGUAGCGGUGAAAUGCGCAGAUAUCAGGAGGAACACCAGUGGCGAAGGCGGUGCUCUGGGCCGGAACUGACGCUGAGGAGCGAAAGCGUGGGGAGCAAACAGG